rnacentral:rRNA from 1 species
CACCAGACUCCUACGGGAGGCAGCAGUGGGGAAUAUUGCACAAUGGGGGAAACCCUGAUGCAGCGACGCCGCGUGAGCGAUGAAGUAUUUCGGUAUGUAAAGCUCUAUCAGCAGGGAAGAAAAUGACGGUACCUGACUAAGAAGCCCCGGCUAACUACGUGCCAGCAGCCGCGGUAAUACGUAGGGGGCAAGCGUUAUCCGGAUUUACUGGGUGUAAAGGGAGCGUAGACGGCUGUGCAAGCCAGAUGUGAAAGCCCGGGGCUCAACCCCGGGACUGCAUUUGGAACUGUGUGGCUGGAGUGUCGGAGAGGCAGGCGGAAUUCCUAGUGUAGCGGUGAAAUGCGUAGAUAUUAGGAGGAACACCAGUGGCGAAGGCGGCCUGCUGGACGAUGACUGACGUUGAGGCUCGAAAGCGUGGGGAGCAAACAGGAUUAGAUACCCUUGUA